GCGCUUGCUUCAGCAGCACAUAUACUAAAAUUGGAAUGGUACAGAGAAGAAUAGCAAGACCCUGGGCAAAGAUGACAUGCAAGUUCCUGAAGCAUUCCAUAUUUUA
rnacentral:snRNA from 1 species